rnacentral:rRNA from 1 species
GACGAACGCUGGCGGCGUGCUUAACACAUGCCAGUCGAACGGAAAGGCCUGCUUUCCCUUGUGGAUUGCGGGUACUCGAGUGGCGAACGGGUGAGUAACACGUGAGUGAUCUGCCCCCAACUUGGGUAUAAGCCUGGGAAACUGGGUCUAAUUCCCGAUAGGACUGCAGGGUGGUGCCUGUGGUGGAAAACGAUUUUCUAGUGGUUGGGGAUGAGCUCGCGGCCUAUCAGCUUGUUGGUGGGGUAAUGGCCUACCAAGGCGGCGACGGGUAGCCGGCCUGAGAGGGUGGACGGCCACAUUGGGACUGAGAGACGGCCCAGACUCCUACGGGAGGCAGCAGUGGGGAAUAUUGCACAAUGGGCGGAAGCCUGAUGCAGCGACGCCGCGUGGGGGAUGACGGCCUUCGGGUUGUAAACUCCUUUCGACCGCGAGGAAGCCACCUGGUUGGAAGGGUGGUGACGGUAGUGGUAGAAGAAGCACCGGCUAACUACGUG